UGAGGAAUAUUGGUCAAUGGGCGCAAGCCUGAACCAGCCAUCCCGCGUGCAGGAAGACGGCGCUAUGCGUUGUAAACUGCUUUUCCAGGGGGAGAAACUUGCGCACGUGUUGCGCACUUGACGGUACCCUGGGAAUAAGCAUCGGCUAACUCCGUGCCAGCAGCCGCGGUAAUACGGAGGAUGCGAGCGUUAUCCGGAUUCAUUGGGUUUAAAGGGUGCGUAGGCGGACUAUUAAGUCAGUGGUGAAAUCCUGCAGCUUAACUGCAGAACUGCCAUUGAUACUGAUAGCCUUGAGGUUGGUUAAGGUAGGCGGAAUGUGUAAUGUAGCGGUGAAAUGCUUAGAUAUUACACAGAACACCAAUUGCGGAGGCAGCUUACUGAGCCGACACUGACGCUGAGGCACGAAAGCGUGGGGAUCGAACAG
rnacentral:rRNA from 1 species